rnacentral:rRNA from 1 species
GAUGAACGCUGGCGGCGUGCCUAAUACAUGCAAGUCGAGCGAACAGACGAGGAGCUUGCUCCUCUGACGUUAGCGGCGGACGGGUGAGUAACACGUGGAUAACCUACCUAUAAGACUGGGAUAACUUCGGGAAACCGGAGCUAAUACCGGAUAAUAUAUUGAACCGCAUGGUUCAAUAGUGAAAGACGGUUUUGCUGUCACUUAUAGAUGGAUCCGCGCCGCAUUAGCUAGUUGGUAAGGUAACGGCUUACCAAGGCAACGAUGCGUAGCCGACCUGAGAGGGUAACCGGCCACACUGGAAAUGAGACACGGUCCAGACUCCUACAGGAGGAAGCAGAAGGGAAUCUUCCGCAAUGGGCGCAAGCUUGACGGAGCAACGACGCCUGAGUGAAGAAGGUCUUCGGAUCGUAAAACUCUGUUAUUAGGGAAGAACAAAUGUGUAAGUAACUAUGCACGUAUUGACGGUACCUAAUCAGAAAGCCACGGCUAGCUACGUG